GCUGAAAUUCGCCUACAUGAAGCCGGAAUUGCUAGUAAUGGCAGGUCAGCAUACUGCCGUGAAUACGUUCCCGGGCCUUGUACACACCGCCCGUCACACCAUGAGAGUUGGGGAUACCCGAAGCCUGUGAGCCAACUAUAUAGAGGCAGCAGUCGAAGGUAGAAUCAAUGAUUGGGGUGAAGUCGUAACAAGGUAAC
rnacentral:rRNA from 1 species